rnacentral:misc_RNA from 1 species
GUCAAUUUUUCAUGAGAUUAUAAUGGAUUUAUUAUACAUAAUUAAAUUUAGUACAUUUCAUUUCAAGUCAAUAUUUAAUCAAAUUUAAAUUAAUAGACAUUUUGACAUAAUUAUAUUUGAUUGAAAAUUAUAUUUAUUUAUUUAUUUAUUAAAGGGUAAUAUUUUAUAAAUAAAAGAAUAUACAUUUUCUGCCCCACUGACCAAAAAUUCUAACUCUGCCACUGACAAAAAUUGUUGUCUUUUUUUGGUCAUUAACCAUAUAUAAAUGAAUUUCCAAAAGUGAUUUCAAACUAUAUUGUUUCAAGAGAUACUAAAAUGCAUAAUAUAAAAGGAGACCUGAGCUAGAAAAUGUCUUACUAGGAGAAUAGUGUACAUCUUUUCCAUUUGAGCAUUUAACUCUGGCGUCAAGUGCAUGAAUGCUAUUAUAAAACAGAAUUUUCUCAUUUCAUCUUAUACUAGUUACAGCAUAUACUCAAAGGGGAUGAUCACUUUUACUGCCCAUUAAUGUACAACAAACUUUUAGCAUUUCUCUUCAAUGAUGUGCCAUGAUUUUCACAAAUACUGCUCAAGCACAACUAAUUUACCUGGCAACUGAAGACUUUAAUGACAUAAUUACUUCUAAAUUCAGAAUAGCAUAUAAUUAUGUUGGCAUCAGUUUGAAUAAAGCUAUUAAAAACACUACUUAAAGAUCAAACAUUUUAUGAGCACUAAGCACUUAAAACAUGUGUUGUGCAUGCAAACAGAUAUAUUGAUUAACUGAACUUGUUAUUUGUAAAUCAUUGUGCUUCACUCGU